rnacentral:rRNA from 1 species
UACAGAGGUCUCAAGCGUUGUUCGGAUUCAUUGGGCGUAAAGGGUGCGUAGGUGGCGCCGUAAGUCAGGUGUGAAAUUUCGGAGCUUAACUCCGAAACUGCAUUUGAUACUGCGGUGCUUGAGGACUGGAGAGGAGACUGGAAUUUACGGUGUAGCAGUGAAAUGCGUAGAGAUCGUAAGGAAGACCAGUGGCGAAGGCGGGUCUCUGGACAGUUCCUGACACUGAGGCACGAAGGCCAGGGGGAGCAAACGGG